rnacentral:rRNA from 1 species
AAACCCGGUGAUCUAGCCAUGGGCAGGUUGAAGGUUGGGUAACACUAACUGGAGGACCGAACCGACUAAUGUUGAAAAAUUAGCGGAUGACUUGUGGCUGGGGGUGAAAGGCCAAUCAAACCGGGAGAUAGCUGGUUCUCCCCGAAAGCUAUUUAGGUAGCGCCUCGUGAACUCAUCUUCGGGGGUAGAGCACUGUUUCGGCUAGGGGGCCAUCCCGGCUUACCAAACCGAUGCAAACUCCGAAUACCGAAGAAUGUUAUCACGGGAGACACACGGCGGGUGCUAACGUCCGUCGUGAAGAGGGAAACAACCCAGACCGCCAGCUAAGGUCCCAAAGUCAUGGUUAAGUGGGAAACGAUGUGGGAAGGCACAGACAGCCAGGAUGUUGGCUUAGAAGCAGCCAUCAUUUAAAGAAAGCGUAAUAGCUCACUGGUCGAGUCGGCCUGCGCGGAAGAUGUAACGGGGCUAAACCAUGCACCGAAGCUGCGGCAGCGACGCUUAGCGUUGUUGGGUAGGGGAGCGUUCUGUAAGCCGUUGAAGGUGGCCUGUGAGGGUUGCUGGAGGUAUCAGAAGUGCGAAUGCUGACAUAAGUAACGAUAAAGCGGGUGAAAAGCCCGCUCGCCGGAAGACCAAGGGUUCCUGUCCAACGUUAAUCGGGGCAGGGUGAGUCGACCCCUAAGGCGAGGCUGAAAAGCGUAGUCGAUGGGAAACAGGUUAAUAUUCCUGUACUUGGUGUUACUGCGAAGGGGGGACGGAGAAGGCUAGGCUGGCCGGGCGACGGUUGUCCCGGUUUAAGCGUGUAGGGGGUGUGACCUGGUAAAUCCGGUUGCAUAUCAACCCUGAGGCGUGAUGACGAUGCACUACGGUGCAGAAGUAGUUGAUGCCCUGCUUCCAGGAAAAUCCUCUAAGCUCCAGGUAACAUUAAAUCGUACCCCAAACCGACACAGGUGGUCAGGUAGAGAAUACCAAGGCGCUUGAGAGAACUCGGGUGAAGGAACUAGGCAAAAUGGUGCCGUAACUUCGGGAGAAGGCACGCUGGCAUGUAGGUGAAGUCCCUUGCGGAUGGAGCUGAAGCCAGUCGAAGAUACCAGCUGGCUGCAACUGUUUAAUAAAAACACAGCACUGUGCAAACACGAAAGUGGACGUAUACGGUGUGACGCCUGCCCGGUGCUGGAAGGUUAAUUGAUGGGGUCAGCCGCAAGGCGAAGCUCUUGAUCGAAGCCCCAGUAAACGGCGGCCGUAACUAUAACGGUCCUAAGGUAGCGAAAUUCCUUGUCGGGUAAGUUCCGACCUGCACGAAUGGCGUAAUGAUGGCCAGGCUGUCUCCACCCGAGACUCAGUGAAAUUGAACUCGCUGUGAAGAUGCAGUGUACCCGCGGCAAGACGGAAAGACCCCGUGAACCUUUACUAUAGCUUGACACUGAACAUUGAGCCUUGAUGUGUAGGAUAGGUGGGAGGCUUUGAAGCGUGGACGCCAGUCUGCGUGGAGCCAUCCUUGAAAUACCACCCUU